UCAACACACGUAAGAUAUAUCUAGAAGAUAUAUUUACAACAUAAUUAUAAUUGUUGGUGAAUUAUCAGCACUCACUCCACCGACAACUAUGGCCGCCGCAGCAGCGUAAGAUCUCCGUCCCGAUUAAUCGGAGAUUUUCAUAUUAAUCUCUCCCUUUCGAUUUGAAGUUUGUUACCCACCACUAACUGCGAUAAACUUAAAAUCUGUAUGAUGAUUUUGAUCUAUUAUUAUCUGCCUGCAAAAUUUCAGUAGCGUGCAAGAAGUUCUUCCGCCCCUCUUCAAUUCAACUUCUCUUCAUCCACCACCACUCUUCGAUGGAACCACUAGGUGCCUCUCUCUCUCU
rnacentral:lncRNA from 1 species